CCCAGACUCCUACGGGAGGCAGCAGUGAGGAAUAUUGGUCAAUGGUCGGGAGACUGAACCAGCCAAGCCGCGUGAGGGAGGAAGGUACAGAGUAUCGUAAACCUCUUUUGUCAGGGAACAAAGACUGGGACGCGUCCCCGGAUGAGUGUACCUGAAGAAAAAGCAUCGGCUAACUCCGUGCCAGCAGCCGCGGUAAUACGGAGGAUGCGAGCGUUAUCCGGAUUUAUUGGGUUUAAAGGGUGCGUAGGCGGGCUGUUAAGUCAGCGGUCAAAUGUCGGGGCUCAACCCCGGCCUGCCGUUGAAACUGGCGGCCUCGAGUGGGCGAGAAGUAUGCGGAAUGCGUGGUGUAGCGGUGAAAUGCAUAGAUAUCACGCAGAACUCCGAUUGCGAAGGCAGCAUACCGGCGCCCGACUGACGCUGAGGCACGAAAGCCAGGGGAGCGAAAGGGAUUAGAUACCCUAGUAG
rnacentral:rRNA from 1 species